rnacentral:rRNA from 1 species
CGUCAGGAUGAACGCUAGCGACAGGCUACACAUGCAAGUCGAGGGCAGCAUAGAAGUAGACAUACGUUCGUGGGCGACCGGCGCACGGGUGAGUAACGCGUAUGCAACCUACCUAUCAGAGGGGAAUAACCGGCGAAAGUCGGACUAAUACCGCAUAAACAGGGGCACCGCAUGGUGAUAUUUGUUAAGAAAUUCGCUGAUAGAUGGGCAUGCGUUCCAUUAGGUAGUUGGUGAGGUAACGGCUCACCAAGCCGACGAUGGAUAGGGGAACUGAGAGGUUGGUCCCCCACACUGGUACUGAGACACGGACCAGACUCCUACGGGAGGCAGCAGUGAGGAAUAUUGGUCAAUGGGCGGGAGCCUGAACCAGCCAAGUCGCGUGAAGGAAGAAGGAUCUAUGGUUCGUAAACUUCUUUUGCAGGGGAAUAAAGUGCAGGACGUGUCCUGUUUUGUAUGUACCCUGAGAAUAAGGAUCGGCUAACUCCGUGCCAGCCGCCGC